ACAACUGGGCGGUCAACUAUUGUUUAUUUUGGCGCGAUCUCCACGGUAACACCAGCUUUUCUGGUUGGUGGAUGAGGUUCACGUGAUGCGUCGGUUGAAAUUUCUCCCACUGAAGGGUGAAGACGUCUGUCGGACAACCGCUGUUCUAGCUGCUGUGAGGAAAAAAUUGUCUGACACCACCCCAGACAGCAACAUAGUGUGGCCCAGAUCCGGCCCACAUCUGGUACAUGUGGUUUACACGCGGACCAGAUGUGGGCCAGAUCUGGCCCGACACUAUGUUGCUGUCAGCGACAAGACUAAUAGUCUGCUGGAAUAAGGAGAGAGCACUUGUGGAGAAAUGAGGGGCUGCAGAGCUGUACUUCACUUCCUGAGGACAGUCCUAAAUAGGAUCACGUUCUCCCUCACACAUACAAACAUUCUGAUGUGUAAAUUUGUUUUAAGUAUUUUUUUUUUUUAAUUUGCUCUAUAUUUGUUGAGAGUAAAAUUACAUUAUAAUAUCUUUACAUUUCAGUGCUAGAUUCAUUCAUAUAUUCAUGAGGUGGUAAUAAGAUAUGCUUUGAUUGUACUAAAUAAAAUAGCCUUCACACAGUUACACAAUUCUGAAUGUGGAUAUUAUUAUUAUUAUUGGCUUGUGCAAUAUUGUUAAAUAAACUAAUUUUGAGAAUUGAAUUUUCUUGUGACUCAUUUGUUCACAUGGUUUGGGUAAGAUUAGGCUGGGUUAUGGCUCAUUUUUGGGGUUUCUGGUUAAAGGGUGGUGGUGAUAUGGAUAACAUAUGGCUGAGAAUUGGUACCAAUAAUAAAACCUGUAUUGGCCCACUUCAGGGCCAGUUAAGGGUGAUUAACUGGCUGAGAUUCGGGCCGGUUAUGGCCCAUGUGUGACCCCUGUCUUUAAUCCAGUUCUGGGCCACUUCAGGGCCGUCAUUCUUUGCGGUACUUGGGCCGAGGGAAACGUGAUCGUGUGGCCCGGAGCUGGGCCAGAAAACAUUUGCUAUGUGGGUG